rnacentral:rRNA from 1 species
ACACGACUACAUUAGAUACCCCUGUAGUCCCAGCCCUAAACGAUGCGCGUUAGGUGUAUCGGUGACCACGAGUCACCGAGGUGCCGAAGGGAAACCGUGAAACGUGCCGCCUGGGAAGUACGGUCGCAAGGCUGAAACUUAAAGGAAUUGGCGGGGAGCACCACAACGGGUGGAGCUUGCGGUUUAAUUGGAUUCAACGCCGGAAAUCUUACCGGGACCGACAGCAACAUGAAGGCCAGGCUGACGACUUUGCCGGAUUAGCUG